CCUACGGGUGGCAGCAGUGGGGAAUAUUGCACAAUGGGGGAAACCCUGAUGCAGCGACGCCGCGUGAGUGAAGAAGUAUUUCGGUACGUAAAGCUCUAUCAGCAGGGAAGAAAAACAGUCCUUUGGACUUUGGACGGUACCUGACCAAGAAGCCCCGGCUAACUACGUGCCAGCAGCCGCGGUAAUACGUCGGGGGCAAGCGUUAUCCGGAUUUACUGGGUGUAAAGGGAGCGUAGACGGCAGCGCAAGUCUGGAGUGAAAUGCCGGGGCCCAACCCCGGAACUGCUUUGGAAACUGUGCAGCUGGAGUGCAGGAGAGGUAAGCGGAAUUCCUAGUGUAGCGGUGAAAUGCGUAGAUAUUAGGAAGAACACCAGUGGCGAAGGCGGCUUGCUGGACUGAAACUGACGCUGAGGCACGAAAGCGUGGGGAGCGAACAGGAUUAGAUACCCUUGUAGUC
rnacentral:rRNA from 1 species